UCCCUAUCGUAUACGAUCAUGACGUCAUGGCCACAUCACAUGUUCCCUGUUCCAAAAUUAUUUGCAUGCCGCUCAAACGAACGCGGUACUGGUAAUGGCUAGAAUUAUACCUUUGCCAGUAGCCCGUGAAUUUGAGCGAGUGCGGUUGCGCAGUGAGCAGUCCCCAGGCGAGUCUGAACUAAUAAGGCUAAAGGGUUCCAGAAGAGCAGCCUUAUAAAGGUAGGAUUUUUCUUUUUUUAUGCAUGGGUCUAUUUCAUUUUGUGUGAAAAGUGGGGAAAAUGUGAAUAGUGCAUAUAGUGACAGAAGAUUGGACUAGGCUGAUCUUCGUAUUGUGGUAUUAAGUGAGUUGUGGCCUUUUUCACAGCUUUUCCUCUUGGUAACGCAAGAUUGUCUGCAAUGACUAUCGGUAUGACUAUGAAUUCAUACCCAUACCACUUUUGCUAACUAAACGGACUUUCAAUGCCAACGAGACUAUGAAGAAGUAUUGUGGUCAAUAAUUCCAUUCCCAUGGAGAAUGGCUUCGGGGAUUGCUAUACCUCAAUUAUUACUUCACGAAGAUCAGUUAUUGGUUUUUAAAAGAAUAAGGCAAGUAUAAAUUAGUUUUCGUUGAUGUCGCACUCUGCUAUAUCGCGUUUCGAUCGAUACACACGUCAACUCACUUCCUUCGGACUGGGUCGAUGUCUUUACAUUCUGUACGCUGGGAUUCUGCUCUCAUAUAUCCGUCAAUUGCUCGAGGGAAAAUCUAGUAUUUAUAACAAAAUUAUUUGCGCAGUAAACUGUUUCGGGAAUAGUGUUGUAGUGAAAUAGUGCUGGUGGUUAUUCUAAAGGUAAGUGAAUUUUCGGGGGUGGCCACUUGCGGAUGGCCAACGCCCCACCUCCAUUUUUUUUUCAAUUUAGUCAGUGUGCUGUUUCUGUGUUAACUUAUGAAUCCUUUGACAGAAUUUUCAUGGAUGCGGUUGAUACCAUCGCAGUGACUACGCCACUUCGGACCCGCUAGAAAGAGCAAAAUCCGAAAAUGGUCUAUUUACGAAUAUGGGAUAUCCCCAGAAAAAUUACCCUUUCCCAAAAGCAACUGAAUUUAGCCAUCCUCAAUUUUGCUAAAACCACAAUCACCGCUGCAACUUUUUCGGGAUGCCUAUGUGGGC